GAUAUAUUCUCAAUUAUCGUAAUGAAAUGCUAGGACAAGGGCUGACCAGUGAUGUAGACAUCAGUAUCUUUGUUGCACAUCUUUUUGUUCAGAUUAUUUUACGCAUCCUACCUUAGUGUACUUGUUCUGUCAGACUUCGCUAGAGUUCUACAUCAGAUUAGGAAUAAAUGAAACAUUUACAGACUUAUGAUCAUGUUGUUCAAAUCUUAGAAGUUGGAUGGUAGGGGUCACUUUAAACGUAAAGAUUUCUGUUUCGGUAAUAUUUCGAUGUGAAUAUCCUUAAAUGGAAUGACACAUGUAUUCUAUUUUACAAUAUGUAACCAUUAAAAUGGUGUUACACGGAGGUAUGAUUAAAAAUAUAUUGGGAUACUUAAAAGGGGACACGUAAAAUUGUAAGAUAACAAAACCUUUAAAACCUGAACGUGAAUACGCAUUUUCCGAGAUAUCAGCUUUUGGAGAUAGAGGUGCAUUCAAUAUUUUAAUGAAAGCAUGAGUGGGUACAAGGUUUAGAAGAGUUGUGUAAAUCACAAUUAAAGUUACUCCUUUAAAAGCGUGUAUUGUGUUUGCAGUAGCUGGUGGUGUACAUUAACUGGCAUUACAAAGGCGAAAAUUCUGAAAUUUUAGGGCUAAUAAUAGCCGUGUUUCGAGUUACUCCGGAACACCCGGGAUUUUUCGUAUUUAGCCACGCCGGUCACGUGAUAUGAGCAAAAUGUUCCACAGGGGUACUUCCGGUUAAUUUUGUUUACACUGGUAACAAAAUUGUUUUUGACAAAAUAUAGAUUUUGCGGCACAAACUGUCGCAAAUCAGAUAAAGGAUAGCAAGGGAUAUAUAUUUACUUGGGAAGAUGUCAAAGUUUACCUUUUCCCAAACCCGGGAUAAGCGUUCACGCAGAGGAAACGAUGGUGUCAUUUGUGUAGAAAACCACGAGCAGCCGAAAUUGAGUGCGAUUAUUACAUUCCGUGAAAGCUGAACCAACAAAGAAACAUCAUUGUUCUAGCCAGUUUGCUUAUAUUAACUUUUAGGAAAACCAAGAGGUUGAUAACAAUGGCUGAUCUGCAUAUAAUGACUGCUAGUUAUUGGCUGGUAUGCAGUGAAAGGGAGCUAAAAAGGAGUAAAAAGUUCAUAUCAGCCAGGUGAGAAUUAAUUUCUUCUUUUUUGUGUGUUAUACAUAUGUAAUUCUUUUCUAUUGCUGCUUCAAAUCUUGUGUAUUUGAAAAUUUUCAGUCUAAUAUUUGGCAAUGUUAUAGGUAGUGUGGUUUAAAUAAACCAGUGUUAAGGAAUAUCCAGUAAUGACAUGACGUCAUGAGAGUUUGGUAUACCGACAUUCAGAUGAUUAAUGAUGAAACUGAAGACCUCAAGUGAAAGGCAUGGAAAAUUAUCCUGUUCCCAUUAACCUGAAAAAGAGGAGGGAUGCCACAAUAUUGAUAAUAGACUUUUGUCAAUUUGAGAAGCAAAGAUGUAAAAAAUAAAAUAAAAUAAAUAAAUAAUGCUGAAAUUAUAAUUCAUGUAUUUGUUAAAAAUACUGUUCACUGUACAUACAUGUAUAUUUUUUUAACUUAUUUGGAAAUACAUGAAGUAAUUCAUAUUAAAACUGAAUGUAUGAGUUUUCAUGAUUUUUAUCAAUAAAGCUUACCAUAUUUAU